rnacentral:rRNA from 1 species
UACGUAGGGUGCGAGCGUUGUCCGGAAUUAUUGGGCGUAAAGGGCUCGUAGGCGGUCUGUCGCGUCGGGAGUGAAAACUCAGGGCUUAACCCUGAGCCUGCUUCCGAUACGGGCAGACUAGAGGUAUGCAGGGGAGAACGGAAUUCCUGGUGUAGCGGUGGAAUGCGCAGAUAUCAGGAGGAACACCGGUGGCGAAGGCGGUUCUCUGGGCAUUACCUGACGCUGAGGCGCGACAGCGUGGGGAGCAAACAGG